rnacentral:rRNA from 1 species
UGGGGAAUAUUGCACAAUGGGCGGAAGCCUGAUGCAGCAACGCCGCGUGCGGGAUGACGGCCUUCGGGUUGUAAACCGCUUUCGCCUGUGACGAAGCGUGAGUGACGGUAAUGGGUAAAGAAGCACCGGCUAACUACGUGCCAGCAGCCGCGGUGAUACGUAGGGUGCGAGCGUUGUCCGGAUUUAUUGGGCGUAAAGGGCUCGUAGGUGGUUGAUCGCGUCGGAAGUGUAAUCUUGGGGCUUAACCCUGAGCGUGCUUUCGAUACGGGUUGACUUGAGGAAGGUAGGAGAGAAUGGAAUUCCUGGUGGAGCGGUGGAAUGCGCAGAUAUCAGGGGGAACACCAGUGGCGAAGGCGGUUCUCUGGGCCUUUCCUGACGCUGAGGAGCGAAAGCGUGGGGAGCGAACAGGCUUAGAUACCCUGGUAGUCCACGCUGUAAACGGUGGGUACUAGGUGUGGGGUCCAUUCCACGGGUUCCGUGCCGUAGCUAACGCUUUAAGUACCCCGCCUGGGGAGUACGGCCGCAAGGCUA